GAUGUGGUGCAGAGCAGUGGGGUGCAGUUGGGAGGUGGUGCAGAGCAGGGGGUGCAGUGGGGAGGUGGGAGGAAGCAGUGGGGAAGUGAGGGAGGCCCUAGUGCCCAGGCAGGCAGUGUGAGCUUUCUUGCAGCAGGACCCAGCUCGGGGCAUGUUAGGCAUGAACAGGAGGUGCAGAGCUGGCAGGGGGAUAUAGUGGGGAGGAAUGGGAGGUAGUGCAGAGUGGGGGGUGCAGAGUGGGCGGUGCAGUGGGGAGGUGGUGCAGAGCAGGGGGUGCAGUGGAGAGGUGGGAGGAUGCAGUGGGGAGUUGGUGCAGAGCAGGGGAUGCAGUGGGGAGGUGGUGCAGAGUGGGGGAUACAAAGGAGAGGUGGGAGGAUGCAGUAGGGAGGUGGUGCAGAGCUGAAGGGGGCAGAAAGGGCUCCUGGAUUGCGGUUGUGAAAGUGGUGUAACCAUGAAGGCGGAAGGAACUGA